rnacentral:rRNA from 1 species
ACGAUGAAACCGCGAAUGGCUCAUUAUAUCAGACAUAGUUUAUUAGAUCCCCCUCCCCCUACUUGGAUAACUGUAGUAAUUCUAGAGCUAAUACAUGCACCAAAGCCUUUACUUUUCGGUAAAGGCGCAGUUAUUAGAUCAAGACCAACCGAAGCUUGCUUCGUUGUUUUGAUGACUCUGGAUAACAUUAGCCGAUCGCAUGAGCUUGUCUCGGCGACGUAUCUUUCAAAUGUCUGACCUAUCAACUUUCGAUGGUAGGUGAUAUGCCUACCAUGGUUGUAACGGGUAACGGGGAAUCAGGGUUUGAUUCCGGAGAGGGAGCCUGAGAAAUAGCUACCACAUCCAAGGAAGGCAGCAGGCGCGUAAAUUACCCACUCCCGGCACGGGGAGGUAGUGACGAAAAAUAACGAUACGGGACUCUUUCGAGGCCCCGUAAUUGGAAUGAGAUCACAUUAAACACUAUGUGGAAAUCUAUUGGAGGGCAAGUCUGGUGCCAGCAGCCGCGGUAACUCCAGC